GAUUCAGAACUCCCUGCUGUGCCUCUCAUUUAAUUUUUUUCUUUAAAGGAACACACGGCGCGUUCCGUUACAUAAUAGUACUGGGUAUAUCGCUAGUUCAUAAUGUUCAGAAUUCGGAAUUCCAUUGCCUUCACACAGUGCCAAUCGUGCUUCCCAUAACUUGUGAAAAACUCAAUGCCUUGUUGUGCUGUUAGAGCUGCAAAUGAAAUCUUGCACUUAGAACGUUGUGAGUCACAACGCAUACUGCAGAAUAUGAUGUCCACUUUGCCUUAGCUCAGUAUUACAAAAGUAUUAAGAAAUCAAUAUGCAUGAUUCAACAUUAUCAUUUGGAUCAGGAUGUAUUCCUGAGAACCCCAAUCCUCUGUCUGCAACCAUCAGAACCGACAAUUUUAUUACCUCUGUCAUAAAAGGCACAACCAUGUAUUUCACGUUGAGGCCAUUAGUGCGAAAUUAAUUCCGUAUUAUAAUAAAUUAGCUAUUAAAGUACUGAUGGUUCAAUACAAUUUCAACCUUUUAGCAUUAUAAUAAAUUCACUAAUGACAUUUGCUACUUUAACACAGCGAGUCGACGGAUCUAACAACCAUUAAAAAGUUACUCAGUUCUCGUAGACCAAGUGCAGACUACUUGGCUGGCAUAGAUGGUUUUCUUCAUUUUGCAUACACUGGAAAAAGUUCAGAUACCAAGAUCCAUUGUCCAUGCGUUAGAUGUGUCAAUAGGAACUUGUUGAAGCGAAACACCGUAUAUGAUCAUUUGGUGUGUAAUGGAAUGCUACUUGGAUACACAGUUUGGGGUUGUCAUGGUGAAACUGCAGGAUACAUCUCCUCUAACAAACGAAAAAGGUCAAAACAGGAAGGCAUAAACUCUAAUAUGCGCCAGCUAGUCCAUGAUGUUUUCGGGAACAUAGAUAAUGGGUCUCAAGUGAAUGACUUCGAUGACCCAAACCCUCCAGAACAUGGACCAGAUCCUGAAACCCAAGCUUUUUAUGACUUGUUGAGAGAUGCAGAUGUACCUUUGUGGAAUGGGUGUCAACUAUCAGAACUUUCUUUCCUUGUGCUUCUGUUCAACAUAAAAUUCACUAACAAGUGGAGUAAUAAAUCUAUAAAUGAUUUGCUAGCAGUUCUGCAGCAAGCAAUUCCAAAUGGUAAGAAUUUACCUGGAACUUUUGCUGAGGCCAAGAAGAUCAUUGGAAAGCUUGGGCUUAGUUAUGAGAGAAUUCAUGUUUGUGAAAAAGAUUAUCAGCUUUUUUGGAAAGAGAAGGCUAAUGAUGACUUUUGCUCGGUAUGUGGAGCAUCAAGGUGCAAAAACAAACCUGAUAAAACCAUGCUAAUUAACAACGAAAGGAAAAAAGCAACCCCGAAGAAGGUGCUCUGGUACUUCCCUAUUAAGCCAAGGCUUAAGAGGAGUGGGUUGGGCAUCAUGAUAUUGCACAUGGAUCAAGAUUAUUUCCUCAUUCUGGCAAUCCACUUGGAAAGCCUAGGAAUUAUGUACGGAGCGGUGUGGCAAAAGUACAGGCACAUAGAUAUGUCUUGUUCAAUUGCUCUGAUGUGAAUUCAUACCUUAGAGCUCAUGCUGAUGAGAUCACUAAUGGACGCAAUUUAAACCCUGAUGUUGUCGAGAGGAUUCAAAAUGAUAAGUUCCACGAAUGGAUCCAAGCUCAUGUAAGUGCCAUAUUUUGCAUAUACUAUACACGUAUCACUACAUUUAGUUGUAAUCGAAUUCUAAAUAUUCAGAUAAAGAAAUUGGAGAAGGAAAAUGGCAUCCACAACAUUGAAAAGGAUAUUAGAUUGCUCGCCCGCGGCCCAGUUAAUGCAGCCAAAAUAUAUUGCGCUUUCAACUCCCGAGGCUACCAUUUUACGCCUAAACGCUUGGAUAAAGAGACACAAAAUAGUGGAGUCAUGGUAACUGCAAAAACAGCUAGUUAUGAUUCAGCACGUGAUGCCAAUCCUGUUUUACAUGAUGUGACGUACUACGGGAGGGUAAUUGAUAUUGUCGAGCUAAACUACUCUGGACAGUUUUCAGUGGUGUUGUUUAAAUGUGGAUGGGUUGAUGUGUUCUCAGAAACAUGAA